UUUCUCUCUGCAAAGGAAAACACCAUUUCAAUUUUUAUUUACAUUUUCUCUUUGUAUAUGCAGGGAAUUAAAUUCUUAAAUAUAAGGUGACCUGCUGGCAGAGUACCUUUUUCCUCUCCAAAGGAACAGUUUCUAAAGUUUUCUGGAGGGGAAAAAAAAAACUUACAUCAAAUUUAAACCAUAUGUUAAACUGUAUAUUAGUUGUGUUACACCAAAAAUUGCGUCAGCUGAACUACACACGUUUCAGUCAAAAUGCUUGAUCUAAAGUUACUUGACAUUUCAAAUACGUUUAAUAUCAAUUAAGAAAAAACAAAACAAAAAAACUUCCUGAAGAGAACGGAGCAAAUUUAUUUCCUGGUCAUUGAAGGGUUAAAGGAUUCUUAUCAGAAUUUGUGUUCAGCCCUACAUCCUAGAACUGGUAAUUGGUUCAUUACUACAACCCAGUUUACCAUUUCAGGAUUUAAAUGGUCUAAUAGUUUCCUUCAUAGCUCCCUCUGGUGGAGGUUCUAAUGUAUCACAAUAAAAAUCCUUCCCCUGCUUUACCAACUAUUUAUUGGGGGUAAAAAUUUAAAUGUCCAAUAUAUGUGACAAAACAUCCUUAAAAUUCACCUCUCUGACCAAUGACAACUGAUUUUUAAGACCAACUAAAGCUUAACUACACCUUAGAAAGUAUUAACAUUACUUUUUGGGCACUCACAUUUCAGUACUUUGGUUGACAACUCAAAAAAAUCUGAAAUCACUAUGGGGCAAACAACUAUGAUAUAAAUCAGCAUAUAUAUUCACUGUAAUCAUCUCACUUUUCAAAAACCGUAAAAAUGUUUAAUGACCACUGUGAGUACCAUCACUUACCCUUCACCGAGUCAUU